rnacentral:rRNA from 1 species
UACGAAGGAUUCGAGCGUUAUCCGGAUUUAUUGGGUUUAAAGGGUGCGUAGGUGGACUAAUAAGUCAGUGGUGAAAGCCCGGAGCUCAACUCCGGAACUGCCCAUUGAUACUGUUAGUCUUGAGUACAGUUGAGGUGGGCGGAAUGUGUCAUGUAGCGGUGAAAUGACUUAGAGUAAUGACACAGAACACCGAUUGCGAAGGCAGCUCACUAAGCUGUAACUGACACUGAGGCACGAAAGCGUGGGGAGCAAACAGG